AAGUGUAAGUGCUGAAGGCUGGUUCUAAAGUACUGCUGCUCCUUCUGCAGGCUGAGGUCACAAAUGCACACAGGCACCUCUGUCCUGUGGUUGCUCCAGGGUGGAAUUCCUGCACUGUCACUCUAGGACACGAAACAGAAAGAUGUGGACAUUGGAUUCUCCAAGAAAAGAAUGCAAACCAAUUAAUUAUUUACAUAAAGUCCAUGAGAAAGUUCAUUACAAGAAUGUAAACAUCAGAAGGCUUGGAAGAACUCAAAAGAACAGGGCGACACUGCACAAGGUUUCUUCUGAGGACAGGGUUGAUUUAGAGCAGCACAGCAGUGCAAGAGAAAGGAGAUUUAUCUUCCAAAACAACACUUUGCCUCAGCAUUCUUAAAUUUUCCAGAAGAGCAGAGUGCCACUUGCUCAGACCCACCCUGAACCAAAUGUUUUGGUCUGGAAAAAGUCAUAGCAAAAUUUUAACAGAACAGUCGUGUUAUAAAUAAAAGUGAAUCCUGUUGAUCAA